GGCCUCCCAAUGCUUACCUCAGGCUGUGUAUUUACACUGACUGUAUAGAAAUAGGAGGUAUAGUUAAUGCAUCCCAUAUACAUCUCAACCCUGGCCAUUUGCCUGGUCUGUAUUGUGAAUGGGGGGGGGACAAAA